GACGAACGCUGGCGGCGUGCUUAACACAUGCAAGUCGAACGGAAAGGCCCUGCUUUUGUGGGGUGCUCGAGUGGCGAACGGGUGAGUAACACGUGAGUAACCUGCCCUUGACUUUGGGAUAACUUCAGGAAACUGGGGCUAAUACCGGAUAGGAGCUCCUGCUGCAUGGUGGGGGUUGGAAAGUUUCGGCGGUUGGGGAUGGACUCGCGGCUUAUCAGCUUGUUGGUGGGGUAGUGGCUUACCAAGGCUUUGACGGGUAGCCGGCCUGAGAGGGUGACCGGCCACAUUGGGACUGAGAUACGGCCCAGACUCCUACGGGAGGCAGCAGUGGGGAAUAUUGCACAAUGGGCGGAAGCCUGAUGCAGCAACGCCGCGUGCGGGAUGAUGGCCUUCGGGUUGUAAACCGCUUUCGCCCGUGACGAAGCGUGAGUGACGGUAAUGGGUAAAGAAGCACCGGCUAACUACGUG
rnacentral:rRNA from 1 species